rnacentral:rRNA from 1 species
AUUGAACGCUGGCGGCAGGCCUAACACAUGCAAGUCGAGCGCGCGGCGGACGGGGGAGUAAUGUCUGGGAAACUGCGUGAUGGAGGGGGAGAACUACUGGGGACGGUAGCUAAUACCGCAUACCAUCAGAUGUGCCCAGAUGGGAGUAGCUCGUAGGUGGGGUAACGGCUUACCUAGGCGAGGAUCCCUAUCUGGUCUUAGAGGAUGACCAGCCACACUGGAACUGAGACACGGUCCAGACUCCUACGGGAGGCAGCAGUGGGGAAUAUUGCACAAUGGGCGCAAGCCUGAUGCAGCCAUGCCGCGUGUGUGAAGAAGGCCUUCGGGUUGUAAAGCACUUUCAGCGGGGAGGCGUUACCCGCAGAAGAAGCACCGGCUAACUCCGUGCCAGCAGCCGCGGUAAUAC